rnacentral:rRNA from 1 species
UACAGAGGUCCCAAGCGUUGUUCGGAUUCACUGGGCGUAAAGGGUGCGUAGGCGGUCGGGUAAGUCUGGUGUGAAAUCUCCAAGCUUAACUUGGAAAUGGCAUCGGAUACUAUUCGGCUCGAGGAAUGGAGGGGAGACUGGAAUACUUGGUGUAGCAGUGAAAUGCGUAGAUAUCAAGUGGAACACCAGUGGCGAAGGCGAGUCUCUGGACAUUUCCUGACGCUGAGGCACGAAAGCCAGGGGAGCAAACGGG